rnacentral:rRNA from 1 species
CCUAAUACAUGCAAGUCGAGCGAACGGACGAGAAGCUUGCUUCUCUGAUGUUAGCGGCGGACGGGUGAGUAACACGUGGAUAACCUACCUAUAAGACUGGGAUAACUUCGGGAAACCGGAGCUAAUACCGGAUGAUAUUUUGAACCGCAUGGUUCAAAAGUGAAAGACGGUCUUGCUGUCACUUAUAGAUGGAUCCGCGCUGCAUUAGCUAGUUGGUAAGGUAACGGCUUACCAAGGCAACGAUGCAUAGCCGACCUGAGAGGGUGAUCGGCCACACUGGAACUGAGACACGGUCCAGACUCCUACGGGAGGCAGCAGUAGGGAAUCUUCCGCAAUGGGCGAAAGCCUGACGGAGCAACGCCGCGUGAGUGAUGAAGGUCUUCGGAUCGUAAAACUCUGUUAUUAGGGAAGAACAUAUGUGUAAGUAACUGUGCACAUCUUGACGGUACCUAAUCAGAAAGCCACGGCUAACUACGUGCCAGCAGCCGCGGUAAUACGUAGGUGGCAAGCGUUAUCCGGAAUUAUUGGGCGUAAAGCGCGCGUAGGCGGUUUUUUAAGUCUGAUGUGAAAGCCCACGGCUCAACCGUGGAGGGUCAUUGGAAACUGGAAAACUUGAGUGCAGAAGAGGAAAGUGGAAUUCCAUGUGUAGCGGUGAAAUGCGCAGAGAUAUGGAGGAACACCAGUGGCGAAGGCG